AUUGAACGCUGGCGGCAGGCCUAACACAUGCAAGUCGAACGAGUGGCGGACGGGUGAGUAAUGUCUGGGACACUGCCCGAUGGAGGGGGAUAACUACUGGAAACGGUAGCUAAUACCGCAUACCAUCGGAUGUGCCCAGAUGGGAUUAGCUAGUAGGUGGGGUAACGGCUAACCUAGUCGACGAUCCCUAGCUGGUCUGAGAGGAUGACCAGCCACACUGGAACUGAGACACGGUCCAGACCCCUACGGGAGGCAGCAGUGGGGAAUAUUGCACAAUGGGCGCAAGCCGGAUGCAGCCAUGCCGCGUGUAUGAAGAAGGCCUUCGGGUUGUAAAGUACUUUAAGCGGGGAGGCGUUACCCGCAGAAGAAGCACCGGCUAACUCCGUGCCAGCAGCCGCGGUAAUAC
rnacentral:rRNA from 1 species